UUGGCCCUGGAUCAAGGCCAGCAGUUUGCUGAAGUUGGUGGUUUCAAGCAGGAACCUCUUGAAUUCUGUUUCUAUAGUCUGUUGGCCAUCUUGGAAAUAGAGUGGUCAAUUCAUUAGAAAGAAGCAUCU
ensembl:snoRNA